CAAAUGACUCUCGGCAACGGAUAUCUCGGCUCAUGCAUCGAUGAAGAACGUAGCAAAAUGCGAUACUUGGUGUGAAUUGCAGAACCCCGUGAACCAUCGAGUUUUUGAACGCAAGUUGCGCCCAAAGCCUUUUGGCCGAGGGCACGUCUGCCUGGGCGUCACAY
rnacentral:rRNA from 1 species